UAAUAGCAUUCCCCACCAGCAGUGUGUCAGU
rnacentral:piRNA from 1 species